rnacentral:misc_RNA from 1 species
UGUGCAGCCUCGCUAUUUCUGCAGAUCUGGUGUGGAAAGAAGUAAAGGGCGGGGUGCUACGGACAACACGGACUCGGCCAGCGCCUGCCAACGCCCUCGCUGCGUCAUUGGCGGCGAACUUGUUUCCGCCGUUGCGUUGUUUGGAGAGGGGGAGAGGAGAGAGGAGAGAGGAGAGAGGAGAGAGGCUGUGCUCGACACGCAUCAUCGGCGGCGGACGAGAGAGCGCACGCCACUCUUGCUUGCUCUACCACCCCCCUCCCCGCUUUUCUCUUCGCGCGCCCUUACGGGCUUCCCCCCCCCGCCCCCCGCCACCACCACCGCCUGCAAUGCUGCGCCGAACGCUUCGCUGCUGCGCGGAUGUGCGACACACAAGUGUACCGUCCUUCAUGCAGCACCCGGUCGAGAUGGCCUUCUACUUCCCACGCUUCCACCCCGACACGCACGUCAACGCGGCAGGUAUACCGGAGCUGAUCGACGCCGUCGGGCUAAUGACGCGGCAUUCGCGGCCAUCUCGUGCGGAGAGCACUGCAUUCACCUCUACUCCGGCCGCGGAGAGCGCCAUGUCGCGUGCGCUACCGCCGACUCGGUGGACGACGACCGUCUCAGCGACCGCGCAGCCCACGACGGAUGCCGCCGUGGCCGAGGCGCAGAAAGACAACGCGAAGAGUCUCUUGCUGCUGGAGCGCGGCAUCGACAUCCUCAACAGCGUCGGCGGGGUGCGCAACCCCACGGUGGCGAACCUUCUCCGCCCCCUCUACGCCGCCCGCUUCGAGAUGCUCAACGGCAGCGAGCACCUGCCCCGCUCUGAGUAUGCGAAGCGCAUGCACGUGCCCAAGGCCAUCCUCCAGCAAGCCGCUCCGCUGCUCUACUACGACGCCUGGGACAAGUCUGAUGUGCAGCAGCUUGACACGUCCUGUGUUUUGGUCGGCCACUUCAUGAAGGCGUUCUGCGCGCUGCAUCCGCGUCCCUUCCACCCCGUAGCCGCUCCCGCUACCAGUGGUGGCGCCGGUUCCUCCCAAACGUCGUCGACGACGACGACGGCCAGCAGCAGCAGCAGCAAUGCCACAUCAUCAUCUUCGGCACAAUCCCCACCCAAAGGUGCACUUGGCCCGGCUGAGUGGAAGAUGGCUGUCGGUGACGACGGAGAGGGUGCAUACCUGACCCUGUCGAUUGUCCAAGACCGCGUGGAAGAGCUGCUGCGCCUCGCCACCGCGGCGUACGACAAGCACGGCAGCACGCGCCCGGAGCUGCGCUGGCUGCGGCCGAAGCUGCUGGUUUUGAAGGGACUGCUCACCAUUCCGCUCACGGGGCACCUCCUCCACGCACAGCGGUGCAUCGAAGAGGCGGCCAACUACGUCGACGCUCUCACGAAGCGCAAGAAUCUGCUGCUCGACGGGCUGAAGGAGCGCACGCAUGAGCCGGAACUCGGGCUCUACAUGCUGCUGCAGGCGGAGAUCGCCGCCCGCGUCUUUGACUGGGAUGUGGCGCCUGGCCAGGUCGAUGGUGAUGUGGUGAAUAUGUUCACGGACGCCGCGGGCUACUACGCCGACCCGCCAAACACAACGCUAGAUGGAGACGCCAUCAUGUCGGAGAGCAAGCUCGCGGAGCAGCGGUUCGAGGUGGAGGCGUACACGUGCUGUCUGCGCAGCUACGCAGCCUUCUUGCUCGGCGCGCCGCGACCUAAGGCGACGACCACGCGCGACUCACCGGUGUUUCUCGCAAAGCAGCUCUUCUCGCUGAACCCGCUGCUCACCGUGGCGACAUCGUCCUCGCUUAUCUUCAGUGAUGUGCGGAACGUGUCGGAGUUGCCGCUGGACAUGUGCCGUCGCCGCACCGGCGACGCCCUCGAUCGAGCCCUCAAGCUCAACCGCAUGCUUUACCCCGACUUCCGCCAGAACGCACCCGCGGCGUCGACGCUCAUGACGAUGGCAUGCAUGUACGCGGACACGCGCGACUACCUGUACGCCACAGGGCUCUUCGAGUCGGCGAACAAGGCCGUGACGUACAACUUCGGCGACACCUCGCUCGAGCACGUCUUCCUGCAGAAGUUACGCUAUGAGUUUCUCGCGGGUGUGGGGUCGGAGCAGGAGGCGAAGACCGCAUCGCACGAGGUGGUGCACCUGCUCAAGCGCAUGGACGCGCUGCCAUGCUGAUUUGCACCAUCAUCAGGACCACUAAUGCGGUCGGCUGUUGUCGCGGCGCAACGGUGAGAUCGAUGGGCCGGAGAGGAGAGGGGGGAAGGAAUGAGGGAGGGAGCCAGAGAAGUCUCACCUGCCCUCCCCUCUCCCUCACUCCCUCCUGUCCUCUGCUCUUCCAGGUGGAUUUCUCCUUCGCUUUUUCUCUGGUGGCCGCAGGCACCACCACCUCUCUCUCUCUGUGCGUGCGGGGGAGCCAGGCAGCCCACCCACCCACCCAUCCCCUAUCCCUGCCAAUGCCGAACCGCUUCUGGCGGCUACAGAGGUGGGGGGGGGGGGGGGGGGGUGAGGUCCCGGGCGGCGUGGUGUCGGAGUGGUCUGCGACAGUGAGCACGUCUGUGCCAUCCACAUGAUGGGGGAGCGGCUAUGAGCUGGGUGGGUGGAGUUCGAGGCAGAGGCGGUGCCGAGAGGACGCUGGGGCGGUCGACGAGCGGUAACGCGCGCGUCUACGGCUGCUUGGCACCACGCGAUGGGGUGCUGUGGGGCAGGGCCGGGUGGCUCGCGCGGCGUUUGAGCUCCUGCUGGGAUGUAUGGCAGCGAGACGGUAUGAACGCACCGCGGACGAAAACAAGAUGAGAGUUUAUCACACACACACGCACGCGCAGGUGCGGUGGCGGUGAUGUUGGGCCGCUGUGGAAGUCAAGGCUUUUUCGUCGUUGCGCGCCUCGCCCGUCCUCUUGCGAGUAGGUGUUGUUGUCUGAACGUCGAUGGUAUUGACGCUUCCUCCUCCCUCUGACGAGUCGAGGGCGGCAGCGCCCGUGAGGCUCUGCGAAUGGUCAGCGGGGGGAGAGGGGAGAGGGCGAAGUAGAGAGAGAUUGGGGAGAGGAGGGCGGGUGGGUGCUGCUGGCUUUCCAGUGGUGAGUGAGAGGGGGAAUGCUGGCGCGCACGCACGGAUUCGUGUGGGAGUCGUUUGUUGAUGCCGGUGACGUUUUGGGGGCGUGGCAGGGGGAGGAGGCGCAUUUAGGCCGUGACGUCUUCCUGCGUUCCCCCUCACGACGUCUGGUGCUACUCUGGGCAUAGUGAAGGGUGGUGGUUUGAUGCCGAUGAUGGUGCGGUUACACGUGGUGGCGGCUCGUUACUGCGGAGGGGGGGGUGCACACGCGCGCGCGUCGCAGAUGAUUCACUUCGCGCUCUAAGAACCGAACGGAAAC